AAUUUAUAAAAAGAACUCCAAUUGAAGUUCUACAAGUAUAACAUAUAGCCUGUUCUCAGAAUAGUUCAUAUCAAUUUUGUGGUGGAUUGAUGUGUUAUCAAUAUUUCAUCUGAUAUAAAAUGUCUCUAACUGAGUUGGCAUACUCAAUCCACACACAAUUAGCACAUCCAGACAUGCAACAUGUAGAUGGUUCUUCAGGAAGCUUUGGAUAUUUAGAAGAGGAUUUUCUGAGAUGUAAUAUAUUAAAACUCUUGACAAUAUUUCGUACUGAACAGUACAUAUUUAGUUCUGAAAAAAAAUAGUAGUUUUUGGGUAUCCCACUACCUCUCAAAUGCGGAACCCCUUUGCGCGUCAAAGGAUUGACAGAAAAGUCGAGACACUGCAACCAGGCGACCUAGCCUGGGCUUAGGGAGUAUCGUCCACUGCGACACCGGAACAUGUGACAAAACACAUGAGCAGAUCGGCUUAAUCUUCACUCAGGGAUCAAUGUUCAUCACUGGACACACCACUCCCACUUAUAGACAGCGUGGGCUGCCCUGAAGUAAUGCCUCACGGCAAUUCCAGGGCAGCCCAAAAUAAUGCCAGUCGUGUAAAAAUAAUUUUUUAAGCAGUAAAUAUUUUGCAUUACUUUUUUUUUUUGAAAAUUUUGAGUUUUGGACUAUGAUAAAAGCAUAUAUUUAAUAAUUUGACUCUUAUAAAAAAAAAUAAAAAAUGUUUGAUAUUUUAAAUAUAGCCAUUAAAAAUUUGGACAUUCAAAAUAUACUGUUAAAUUAGAGUAUAAUUUAAUGUAUUGAA